AAGGCUAAAGUGAGUUUGUGCAGUCUACAUAGGUGGAGAUUACUUUCAGGAAGAAGACUCAUCAGUCUGUACAUCUGGUGAGCAUGUCAGUCUUAAAAUUCCUUUAACCUGUAUGUCCAUCAGUGUUGUAACUAUGAUUAUUUUUAGGCCCUGUGCAAAACAUCAGACUCCAAGAACAGCGUAGGUCUGCUCCAGUAUAGCCAUCUACUCUUCACAAGUCACUGAAAAAUUGGGACUUAUGGGUGGAAUACUUUGUAAUGUGUUUGCUUCUCCUGUGCUUCUGUUGCUUUUCUCAGCUGACCCAGCCCUGCAGAGUUAGUGAGGGACUUUAGAGGCAUAAUCUCUGAGCCACCAAAAUAAGAAUGUGGUUGCUUGGCUGCGUGGGCUUUUUUUGGGGGGUUUGUUUUUGUUUAACAGGGACAGAAUCCACUCACAUUGCUGAUUAAUUCACUGACUUGACUUCUGUCAUUUACAGAGUAGAAAAGCCUAUGUCAGCAAGCCACACUAGAGUUCAAAUGUGGGUUUUUUUGCAAAAAACAUAUGCAAAUGGACCGGGGAAGGCUGGACUGGAUCAUAGGCCCCCCAGUUGCUGGCUAGUCCAUCUUAAAGUUUUCUGGUGAAUAUACGUGCACAGCCCAGGCACCCCAGAAUUGGGGAAGACGCAGACUCUCCCCCAUGGUCCCACUCCAGCGGCGCUGAGCUCCUGGCUUGCCUGACUCACGCUGUCUACCCGACAGCUGGUUUUGGGAACAGACACCAUUCCUGCCCUAGUGCCUGGGGGUUAAAGACCCCCACUGGCUUCAGCUGACACGGAGCCCCUGCUUGCUCCAGUCUCUGGCAUCACAGGCCAGGAGCGCCUACCCCCUGGUCUGACCCAAGGAGCAGGCACCAAAUUCCCUUCACACACACAGAGGUCUCACCAGUAACUGGCACCAAGUCCUUGCAGCACAUGUUCACAUGGGACAGAGACUAAGCAUAUGUAGAGGGGUGCUUAAGAAAAGAUCUAGUAAGAAGGUGAAAGCAGCUAGGCUGGACUGCAGUGAUCAGGUUAACAGGGAUCAGCCAGACAAGUGAACUGCCCAGCCCUGUUUUACAGCCAACCUGCCCCACUUACAUCCCUUGGCUGUCUACCCCGCUCUGUUACUCACUGCUCCCUCUUCCCCUGCACAUCCCCCACCCCAGGGGUCUCUAUAGCUCUGUUGAUUCCCAUACCCCUCUUAGUCUGGGGCCCCUGGUAUGCAAUAUUACAAGUUGCAAAGUCCAAGCUGAUCUUCCUGAAAGUGGCACUUGUGGUUUCUUGAUGGCCCAUCAAUCAGUGUGCAGGGUGAGGUUUGUUUCUUGCCAUUGUCUCCAUGUAUUUUGUUCCUGGUUUCCCCCUUUUUGCCAUAGUUUCCCAAAUGACAGGUUCCCCAGGUAGAUAACCUUGCUGGAAUAAACUUUAGCACGCUUUCAUGUGCCCUUAUCAAUUGAUAUGACUGACCAGGUUUGGUUCUCAUCCCUACCUCCCUUAUCAUGUCAGUCAGGUUUGUGUCCCCAUAUGUUCUUGUUCAUGGCUUCCUCCUUUUCUUCUUGUCCCUGUUGCACUGGAAAAGGUCCUUGACCAAAUACCCUUGAAGGAGCAGACACUCUCCUUCCAUGUACCCUUACAGCCAAUUGUGCCACAUAACAUGUCCUGCAAUUCUGGUCCUACAUUUGUCCUAACUUGCAGAUUUAGUUGGAGAGGUCACAUUUCAUUCCUAUGGUAAAGAAUGCACAUGGUAGGAUUGUUUGCAAUGAGUUUUCAUCCUGAUGCCUGGACAAGACACAGACAAGGUGAACACAAAUACUGGGAGCUUGCAAGUUCUUUUGAGUGGAUCUUUUAAUUGUAAAGGACCCACUUGAAUGUACAGAACUAGGAAAAUAUUUGGGGUGUUGUGGAAUAAGCAAGAAAACGGCAGUGUAAUGAAAAGAGGGUGUACAGCAUGGGAAAAGGAUAAAGAAAAUAAACUGCCCAUUCAUAUGUCAAUCAGCUCCACAGAAUACUAGAAAAUGAAUUUCUUUUCCUUGUGUGCUUUAAGCUGUUAUGAGUUUGAUACUGCUGUCUUGUUCAGGAUGGCAAACCAACUGCUCCUGGCUUAAAGAUUAAUUUACAGCUACUACUUUUAGAGUCUUCUGCAAAAGAGAUUGUGACUCCACUGCUAGAAACAAUAGUCUUAAGCUAUGUUCUUCUCAGCUAUUGACUUUGUUAACUAGAAAUGUCAUUAAUUUCUGUAUUUAUAUUUUGCCUGCCUAUGGCCUUAGAAUGACUUUGAGGAUUUUUUGUUUCAGCAUUUUCCUUUUUAGAAAAGCAUCUUUUGCAGUUAGAGAGGGAUGAAAGAAGAAUAAGAAAGGAUAAACGUAUCAGUAUUUGGGGAAGCUGUUUGGUCCUUGUGCUGAGAAUGUGCCUAUCAGGAAGACAGACAGUGGAAAUUACAUCAUGUUUCCUAUCUGAAAUGAAGAACAGUUAGAUAAAUUUCUUGUUUCAGUCUGCUAGCCAAUAAAUGCCAAAUAUUACUUAAAGGGAAUGAAAUAAUAUUUACACUGAAAGGCACAACCUUAAAUGUUUCUUCUCUUUACUCAGGUUCCCCACUGAUAUGGUUUUCUUCCUUUUGACUAAUGAAGCAAUGUAAUACAUAACAGGUGUUAGUGUCAAUGUCUCUGACAUCACCGUGCACGAGUUUACUGCUUUUCACUCCACGAGGGAGCUAUGGAAAUGGAUUUGCUUCUGGCUUUUCAUGAAGAACAAACCUGUGGCUGCUGAAGCCUUGUCAGGGUCUUUGUCUCUGCCCUCAUCAGCAUAGGGAACCGAGUGCAUAUGAAGGUUUUGUCAAGGCCUCGGAGGCUGAAUUUCCAUGGUAGUAUAUAGGAAUCUGAUAUUCCAAUCCUACCAGAUUUCAAUGUGAUAAAUUUACCCUUCAAGGUAAGUAGUCCAUUCCUUGUGUGGUUCUUCUGGGGCUUGAUGAUUACAGCAAGUGAUUGACAGUCCUCUGAAGUACAUAGGUAGUUACUCCUUACUCUUGCUACUCCUUCAGCCCACAAAUACUUUGAUCCAAGUCCAAUAUUCUUCCCAAUUUUGCUAAAAAGAAAAGAAAAAAUAGCCAUUUUAAAGCAGAGGAUAUAAAAUGAAUAGGCCUCAUGGUGCAGGUUUCACCUGUCAGUUGACACUCACUUAGUUGGGACACUCACAGAGUUAGUUGGAAAUAAUAAAUACUCAGUUUCUUCUUUUGGCUAAUGGGAUUAAAUCCAACAGCUCGCAUGACCACUGCUCACAAAGAUUUGUUUGGGAGACCUAGACAAGACUGUUCAAUUCAAACCGCAGAUUUGACACAAAUUUUCAAACAAUACCAGGCUAAAUAAUUUAAAUUGUGAAUUCUAAAAGUUACUGUUAAGCCCUGGCUCCUAGUUGGCAUCUCUGUGCAUGGGUACUGCAAUAUAGCAGUGGGUCUUUCGCUGGUAAGUGUUGUAUGUCUUGCUUCUUACUCCACUGUUUGUUCUUCCUAAUGAAGAGCUAGAAUUCAUAAUUUUUUGCUGUGAGCGAGAAUGAAAACAGAGAGUGAUAGCCCAUUUUUAGCUGGCUCUGUAAGGCUCUACUCCGAAGUAUUCACAGGUAUAGGUAAAGACAGCAUUAGCUGAUGAUAAGACCUAGACAACCUCAGUGACCAGCUCUUCUAUUAUUCCUUUGCAGACCCCAAAACUUUCUUACAGAAACCAGGAAGUCUAAACUGCAUCAUAGUAAAUGAUAAGGAAGAAGAUGGAGUCAUUUGUUGCAACAAGGUGCCUGAGCCAUCCCCAGUUUUAAGAUAUAUUCUCUGGGGCCUUUAUACAUUCAUGUUAUCACUAAGUCUGGAAAUGCUACUUCAGUGAGUUUUUUUCCCCAUGCAUGUGACAAAUUCUCUUUGCUGUUCUAGAAUUUUCCUCAGUCUUAGCUAAUCCUGAAUCAGGAUGUUUCUUGGAAAUAUUUCUAUGUUGUUUCUCACCCCAUCUUCCCUGAAUUGUUUUAGUAUGGAAUGCUGUGGAGUCCUUAAGAACAGUUUUCAAUAUGGUAAAAGUUAACUUUCUAUAUGCUGUCUUCAGUUUCUCCACAAAUUUCUGAAUUAUGUCUGGUAACGUUCACCAGCCCUGUUUAUUGCGUUCCGCUCCUGACUAGCCUUCCAUGGUGGAGCAGCUAGCCCUCACUGCUGUCUGACACAGAGGCAGUACUGCUGACAAUGCUGCAAUGUAGGUCCAAGGUCCACCCAGAGGUGAGACGUGUAGCAAGAUUACUUGAGGAAAGCAGGCUUUGGCUUGUUGAGGGAGUCCGGUAGGCAGUAUCCCAUGGGACUCGCCCUGGAGGGCAAAGGGGUCCAGGAGAGUUAGGCAGACUUCAAAUACAACUUCCUCAAAGAACAGGAAGGGUUCAUCUGAUGUGUGGGAGGGCUACCAGGCCUGGCAGAAGGCCAGCAUGGAUGAACAGAGAACUCCUGACUGAAUUUGACCAUGCAGAGGCAGUGCACAGAAGGCCGAAGUGGGGCUGGUCUGCUCUGGAGGAAUGCAGCCAUUGCCCCAGUAUGGUGGGGUGGCAUCUGGAAAGCCCAAAUCGCAUCUGGAGUUGAAACUAGUGAGGAACGUGGAAGGCACCACGAAGACCUUCUAUGAAUAUGUUGGCAGUAGAUGGGAGCCUAAGAAAAAGUGGACAGUCUGCCAAAUAGAGCAGGGGAGCUGAUGACAAAGGACAUACACAGUGCCUUCCUUGCCUUGGCAUUUAAUUGUGUAAGGUCUGCUUUUAGGCCUUGGAUCUCUGAGCUUAGUGGCAAAAUCUGGCAACGAUGCGGAGUAUCACCCACAGCAGAGCAAGACUUCAUUGGCAACCAAAAGGCAAGCUGGACAUACACAAGUCCAUGGGUCUACCUGAAAUGCUUCCAAAGGUGCUGAGGGAGCUGACCAAAGUCACUGCAAAGCUGCUCGCAUCUUUGAGCAGUCAUAGUGAGCAGGGGAGGCGCCUGAUGAGCUGAAGAGGCAUAUGGCACACACACACCCCCCCCCACCCUGGCCAUCUCUCUGAAAAAGAAAGAGGCCCCAGAGAACUACAGGUUUCUCAGCCUGAUCUCUGGCCCUGGGAAGAUCACAGAGCAAAUCCUCACAAAAACUACUUCCAGUUGUAUGAAGGACAAGAAACUGAUUCGGAAAAGAUAGCAUAGGUUUACCAAGGGCAAAGUAUGCCCAACCAGUCUGAUAGCUUUCUACAGUGAGACAAGUAUUCACUUGAAUGAGUGGAGAGCAGUGAGUGUUCACCUGAACUUAAGGUUUAACCCACAAUUUCCUGUAGUAACCUUGUAGCCAGAUGGUUGAGGUAUGGUUUGGAUAAGUGGAAGAUAAGGUGGGUGAAUAACUGGCUGGACUACAGGGCUUAAAGGGUUGUGAUCAGCUCUUCAUACUAACUGGCAGCAAGUUUACUAUUUGUGUUUCUUGGGGACUGAUACUGGGGCUAAUACCAUUUAGCCCUUCUUGUUUUCUGAAAGACCACAGGUCAAGAGAUACGGUCAUGCCCUGCCACAGGCUCCUUCUGCUCUCCUCUCAACCUGCCUCAAACGCCUCUGCAUUGGUUUCUCUCACUCAGAGACAUACUCUGCAUGCUUUCAGAGGCUGUUUGAGGCUAUCUGCUUUGUCUUCACUUCCCUAAGCGUAUUCUGCAUGCAGUUGGGUUGCUCUAGUCUGUCUCCUACUUUUGUGGCCCUCCAGUUUUACUGUGUGUUCUCCUUGGGGUCUUUUAACUUCUCUGCUUCUUUCUUGGUCUCUGUGAGGUUACUCUCUGCCCUCUCAGCAUUCUUUCAGUCUUCCUGUUAUGUUUUUUCACCUCCCCACAGCUACUGUAUGCUCUCUGGGUUUCUUUCUUGUCUACUUUUUUCCACCUUUCUGAGGCUUGUCUUUGUUAUUCGUCAUAUUUGCAGGCUUUAUGCUAUCUUCUUACCUUCUCUGAGACUACUCUGUCUUCUCUGAGGUUCUUUCAGGCUCUGUUCUAGUCUCUCAGGCUCUGCAAGGCUUCUCUGUUCUCUGGACUCGCUCAACCUCUCCACUUCUUCCCUAGCCUCUCCAAAGCUGCUAUGGCUGCCUUUCAAGUUUUCAGUCUGUUCCUUCCUCUCACUAAGGUGACUUUGGAGCACUUUCAGUCUUUCUGCUGGUUUCCCCCCUCACACUUUUCUGAAGUUAAACUGGGUUUUCUGGGGCUGUUUCAGUCUCUCUUCAACAUUUGCAGCAUCUCAGCUACUCUUAUUUCACCUGGGACUUUUUCAACCCUCCUGCUUGUUUCUUCCCUUCUCCAAGGCUAUUCUCUGUUGCUCUUGUAGCCUCUCUCCUUUCUUAGCAGCUGCAGGCAGUCUCUCCUAGUGCUCUUUCAGAAUCUCCUACUUUGUUACUGUCAAGGUCUUUGGUGUGUUCACCAUGGUUCUUUCAGGCUUUCUACUGGUUUCUUUGCCUCUUUGAUGCUACUCUGUGUUCUCUUUUACAGAUUUUGGCUCAUUUUCCCUUCUUUGAUGCUAUUCUUUGGGGCACUUUCAAGCUUUCUGCUUAUUUUUUUUUUUUUUUGGUCUUCACUGAGGCCACCCUUGGUAUUACUAGGUAUUCCUUUAAUAUCUCUGAUGAUACUUCCUUGUUAUCGCUGAGCCUCUUUGGUAUUCUCUGGGGGGUACUUUGCCCUGUCUAGUUCUUUCCUGGCCUUUUUCACUCUGCUACAUUUUGUUUCCUUGGGCACUUACAGGCUUUCUUCCCUUCCUUGAGGCUACUUUAUGUUCUCUGAAUCUCUUUCAGACUCUCUGUUGCUUUGUUGGCUUCUGCUUGGCUCCACUAUUUCAUCUGGGGAUCUUUCAGACCAUCUUUUACUUUCCUGGCAUUUGGAGGGCUAUUCUGCAAUCUUUCUCUGUCUCAGUGUUUAAUCAGUUUUCACGGUUUCUCUGAGAUGUCGCAGGAUCAUCUGGAUGCCUUUCAAGCUCUCUACUACACUGUCCUCUCUUCGACUAUUCUAUAUUCUCUGGGACACUUGCAAACUCUUUCCUAUGUUACCAGGCUCUCAAAACCAAUUUGAUGUUCUCUGGGGAUCUUUCACACCUAUUUCUGUUUUAUUAGAGUCUUGUUUUGAAGGAAGAUGAGAGAGGAUGGUGGGGGCGGGUCUCUUCAGGCAUGCAACAGCUUCAGGAGCUCUGAACUUCAACUGCAGUGGAGUUGGAAUAGAUCUCUGUGAGUCACCUGUUGGAACUUUUUUGUCCCCUUUUCGUUUUGGUGGUAGCUGGAGUUAGGAGAGAAAUGAGCUCAAAGAGGCACCUUUUAAAAAAUCCUUUAUUUUUAUAUCAUCCUAGUAAAAAUCUUUUAUAUAAAGGUGAAAGUAGGUAUUGCAUAGAAGAAACACUGAUGCAAACAUCACCUGGUGGGAAUGGGUAUGUUGUUUCUUAGUGUCUAAUAUCUACUGCACAACAGAUGGCUAGCCCCUAGGCAAACAUCUCCAGGUUUCCCCAUGCCAGCUACAGGAUGAAGCUGCUCAACUCUACAGAAAGCAGUUACAUCAGAAUUAUGUGUGCCCUAUUCCAUGCUGCUCCCAAGAACCAUCUGCUGCGAAAACACCCUUUUCCUCUGUGCCAUUUCUACGCCUGAACCAAUACAUUGCCCAAGAAAGGCCAUGAGGAUCAGUUUGGCUGCCCUUUGCUUGCACCCUUUCUGUGUCUAAGUUUGCAUUUCAUGCAUACAAAUGGGGGGUGGACACAGGAUAGGAAAGUUGGCCUAACAUUACCAUAGUCCGGGAACACUGUGCGUGACAAUUACAAGGCAUCCUCUGUCAUCUGUUUUUAUCAUCUCACAUGCUACUUAGCUAUGGGCACUUCUUUUGAGUGCCUUCCACCUGGGCUUCUUAUAACUAACAGCCUUGGUACCACCAGGAGGGAACAGAAUUCACUGCUAUCACUUCAACAGCUUUCAAGUAGAGGUUCUUCAAGCAGUUCUAUUAGGUCUCUGCUUAAGUUCUGCUGCAGCUUCCAAGCAUGAAGCACAGUGAGACAGCAGGUAUGCUACAGACUGAAGGAACACUCAAAGAAACAGCACUUUCAUACACUUAACUGUGCUUUCAUGAAUUAGAGAGGUAUGCAUUUAUUCUAAUCAGUAUUUGUGUAUAUUAAAGAUACUUUUACUUAGUAUCAGUUUUUAUUUAAAAACAUGCUAAAAACUUAUAGUUAAAUAAUCAGAGUGACAUUUGGGGAAAACACACAGCCACGCACCAGCAUAAGCAAAAAAAGUGCAUCCAUACAUGAGCCAAAGCUCCUUUUGACCAGUCUACAGGAGAGUUAGUGCCUUUUCUGACAAACUGACUGAUGCAGCCUUACACUUUCCAGGGUUGUUUUUUGUUGCCUGGAAAAUGCCAUUAUUUUUCUGCUCCUUUCAGGAUGCCUGUCGUCACCUCCUACAUCAGAAAGUCAGCUAAAGACGCAAAUCAGCCCUGCUUUUGACCCCCUUCCUGUAGGUGGCUUCAUAGAGAUGAAUACACGAAGUUUGUAUAACUAUGCCACUUAAUACUGUGCUUAAAAUGCCAAAAGUAGUCAUUAAAAAAAAAAGAUUUCAGGAUCUAUGCUGCUAGAUCGUGAAAUGGAAUGAAGCAUUCUAGAAAAUAAGUUUGUCUAGAAAAAUACAAUGGAAGGCAAAGUAGCUGAGUUUGCAACUACACAUUUGAUCUUCGAGUUACUCAUAAACAUUUUUUAUUUCCUUAUUACUUUCACUAAUAUAUUUUACCAUUUUUUUUGUAAAAAAAACUGACUGCAGAUUAAAAUUUAAGAUGUGGCAGGUACCACUGUGCGACCCAGAAAGACAGAGAUGAUGCUCCUGCUCAGCCCUGCACCUCACUCUUUUUCAAUGCCAGAGAAAGCUAGAGAAAGCUAAGUGCCUCAGCCCAAAGGGAGAAUGUAGUGGAGCCAUCAGAUGAAAAUCAUCCUGUCUUUUCUUGCAAAAAUGGGAAUGCAGCUUAGCAACCUUGGAUACAGUCUUACAUGUAGCAGCAAGUACACUGGGCAUCAGAGCCCCUUCUUCAACAUGGAACAUCCAUCUCCAGUGGCCUUAGAUGCUCCUGGUCCCAAUUUUUGUUAGAAAUGUAAGUAAAACUGGAUUCAGUUUCUGUGCUUUCCCUCUGCUUCUUCAAGGCAAUCCAAGUGAAAUAGCUGAACCCAUAUGGCAUUGUCUGCUUCAGUGGGAAACAAGAGCCCUGUGAAACUUUGAGCAUUUUGCUUAUAUGGGCAAGGGCCAUGCUCUAAGAAUGGUAACCUCCUUCUUCACUGCAACACCCAAAUUCAUGUCCAUCUCCCACACGUUCACACUCCUUCCUGUCACACUGAUUUCACAAGGAACUCAAAAAAGUGACACAUAGGCCACACAAACCACUACUGCUGCCAGAUGUACAGAUGCAUGCAGGACCUACUAGGAAGAUUAACAUGGGACUAAAAACUAUUGCUGCCAUAUGCCAGCUGUACAGAUGCAUGCAGGACCUACUAGGAAGAUAAACAGGGGACUAAAAAUUCCCAGAUAUGAAGUAGCUCCACAGCUAUUUCAGCCCACAAAGAAAAGAUAGGCUGAAUGAUACAAUUAAAAUUAUAUCUUUUAAGAGUUUAAAGUAUAAAUAUUCAGAGUGGACAUUAAGAGAAACUUGUUUACCAGAGCAGUAGUUUGACAUGGCAUGGCUCUGAAAGGCACAAAAUCUCCAUCCUCAGCAGUUUCUGAAACUCAGCCCAAUAAUGUCACAUUAAACCCCUUCAUAUGUAGAUGACAGCACCCAUUUGUGAGUGACAUUGGAUGAGGUAACCUUUGAAGGUCACUUCUGACUGCUGCUAAUACAAAAUGCAGUGUUUCUUUCAGAGCUGUGUUGAGCCCUGACUGGAGUCAAAUCAGAACAUCCUCCAAUGCCUGAGCCUUUUCUUCUUCCUUCACAAAACAGCAAAAACCUGGAACAAAGGGUAAAUGGGGGCUGCUUGCAACGAAGCAGCAUUCAAACUAGAGAAGCGUACGCUCAAGUUUUCUAACAGGAAUGUUGGUAAAAAUACACUUUGCAGUGAAAUCUGAACUACCCCACUGGAUGGACUUGGCAAUCUAUCAGCAAGAACCAAGCCUAUACUGAGUGUGUGACAACACAUACUCUCUCUGAGUGCUGUUUUGGAAAUCGCCCCUUUCCUGCAUCAUCUGGUCACCUUUAAUCAAACCACCUUUUCCAGCUCAGGAAGACAGCUGUCAUCUGCCUGAGGAAACCCCUUCAAGGAAGGGCAUGGCAUGACAAUGUUGCCAUCAAAUUGCCAUCCCCUUCCCUCAUAGGCAGAAGCAUGCCAUGCUUUGGGCAAACUUUUUGAAGCAGACAACACAAUCUGCUGCCAACUGGCCAGUAGGUCAGACUGAAAUCUCUCUCCUUCGUGCCAGGGAGCAGUAACUUGCUUAGUCAGUACUUUUAGCUUUCAAAGUAGCAUGACGUCAAAGCAGCCAGACACUGCUUUGGCUGAGUAAAGGCAUUGGAACUUUGCCUCAUAGGAGUAGGAAAGUCACCACCAUCUGGUCCAAUGGGAAGGCAUUGCAUUCCAUCUGAGUAAAGAGCCUCUGAUUUGAAAGGAACCACCUUGGUUACAGUAUCAAGGCCCUGAUAAAGGUAGAUGAUGCCUCCCUGUGGACUUGAGAAAAGUUAUGUCUUUAUUUGCCCUCACCAACUGUCAACUUUGAAAAACAUGUCCUCUGAAGAUUGCACAGUGGUUCCCAAAUUAAUGUACAAUAAAUGUGUAAAACCAUAAACAGUAAGAAGUUAUAAGUCAGGCAACUAAAUUUUAAGCUAUACCCAUCAUAAUAAUAAUCAUCAUCAUUAACAUAAUAAAAAAGUAUACACCAUAAGGUACAAGAAGCUGCAAAGCAAAGCAGCUCCGAUUCCUAGGACUCUCAAGAGUGGCUUUUCGGAGUCUUCCAGUAAAUUGGACAUGAGGGUUGAAAACUUAAUGGAAGACUUUGAAGAAUUAUCCCUGGAAGUUGAACACACAUAAUUUUUGCACAUAUAGCAUGUAUUAGUAGAGCAAAACAUUUUCUUAAGUUAAGAAACAUUCUUAGAGCAGAUCUAUGAUUUCGUGUAGAAAAUCCAUUUGUUUGGGGGGUUGCCCCCCUCUUUGGCAAAUAAAUGGCAAAUGUGAAA